rnacentral:rRNA from 1 species
GACGAACGCUGGCGGCGUGCUUAACACAUGCCAGUCGAACGGAAAGGCCCUGCUUUUGUGGGGUGCUCGAGUGGCGAACGGGUGAGUAACACGUGAGUAACCUGCCCUUGACUUUGGGAUAACUUCAGGAAACUGGGGCUAAUACCGGAUAGGAGCUCCUGCUGCAUGGUGGGGGUUGGAAAGUUUCGGCGGUUGGGGAUGGACUCGCGGCUUAUCAGCUUGUUGGUGGGGUAGUGGCUUACCAAGGCUUUGACGGGUAGCCGGCCUGAGAGGGUGACCGGCCACAUUGGGACUGAGAUACGGCCCAGACUCCUACGGGAGGCAGCAGUGGGGAAUAUUGCACAAUGGGCGGAAGCCUGAGGCAGCAACGCCGCGUGCGGGAUGACGGCCUUCGGGUUGUAAACCGCUUUCGCCUGUGACGAAGCGUGAGUGACGGUAAUGGGUAAAGAAGCACCGGCUAACUACGUG